rnacentral:misc_RNA from 1 species
CGGGCGUCCUCACAAAUUACCUGCAUUCAGAGAUUCAUACCGGCACAGGUCGGUAUGCGAAGUCCCUUUUGGGGCCUUAGCUCAGCUGGGAGAGCACCUGCUUUGCAAGCAGGGGGUCGUCGGUUCGAUCCCGACAGGCUCCACCAUAUUGAGUGAAAAGACUUCGGGUCUGUAGCUCAGGUGGUUAGAGCGCACCCCUGAUAAGGGUGAGGUCGGUAGUUCGAGUCUACCCAGACCCACCACUCUGAAUGUAGUGCACACUUAAGAAUUUAUAUGGAUCAGCGUUGAGGCUGAGACAUGUUCUUUUAUAACUUGUGACGUAGCGAGCGUUUGAGAUAUCUAUCUAAACGUGUCGUUGAGGCUAAGGCGGGGACUUCGAGUCCCUAAAUAUUGAGUCGUAUGUUCGCGUUGGUGGCUUUGUACCCCACACAACACGUACAUGUAGCUCCGAGGCAACUUGGGGUUAUAUGGUCAAGCGAAUAAGCGCACACGGUGGAUGCCUAGGCGGUCAGAGGCGAUGAAGGACGUGGUAGCCUGCGAAAAGUGUCGGGGAGCUG